rnacentral:rRNA from 1 species
AGGGCACCACCAGGAGUGGAGCCUGCGGCUUAAUUUGACUCAACACGGGAAAACUCACCCGGCCCGGACACUGGAAGGAUUGACAGAUUGAGAGCUCUUUCUUGAUUCAGUGGGUGGUGGUGCAUGGCCGUUCUUAGUUGGUGGAGUGAUUUGUCUGGUUAAUUCCGAUAACGAACGAGACUCUAGCCUACUAAAUAGAUAGUCGGCUUACAAACGUCGACUAGACUUCUUAGAGGGACAGGCGGUGAUUCAACCGCACGAAACAGAGCAAUAACAGGUCUGUGAUGCCCUUAGAUGUCCGGGGCCGCACGCGCGCUACACUGAAGUGAUCAGCGUGCUUUUUCAGCCUACUCUGUCAAGAGUGGGAAACCCAAUGAACCUUCUUCGUGAUUGGGAUAGGGGAUUGUAAUUAUUCCCCUUGAACGAGGAAUUCCCAGUAAGCGCGAGUCAUAAGCUCGCGUUGAUUACGUCCCUGCCCUUUUGUACACACCGCCCGUCGCUACUACCGAUUGAAUGUUU